rnacentral:rRNA from 1 species
UACGGGGGGGGCAAGCGUUGUUCGGAAUUACUGGGCGUAAAGGGCUCGUAGGCGGCCAACUAAGUCAUACGUGAAAUCCCUCGGCUUAACCGGGGAACUGCGUAUGAUACUGGAUGGCUUGAGUUCGGGAGAGGGAUGCGGAAUUCCAGGUGUAGCGGUGAAAUGCGUAGAUAUCUGGAGGAACACCGGUGGCGAAGGCGGCAUCCUGGACCGAUACUGACGCUGAGGAGCGAAAGCCAGGGGAGCAAACGGG